rnacentral:rRNA from 1 species
GUGGGGAAUCUUAGACAAUGGGGGAAACCCUGAUCUAGCCAUGCCGCGUGAGCGAUGAAGGCCUUAGGGUUGUAAAGCUCUUUCAGCUGGGAAGAUAAUGACGGUACCAGCAGAAGAAGCCCCGGCUAACUCCGUGCCAGCAGCCGCGGUAAUACGGAGGGGGCUAGCGUUGUUCGGAAUUACUGGGCGUAAAGCGCACGUAGGCGGACCGGAAAGUCAGAGGUGAAAUCCCAGGGCUCAACCUUGGAACUGCCUUUGAAACUCCUGGUCUUGAGGUCGAGAGAGGUGAGUGGAAUGCCGAGUGUAGAGGUGAAAUUCGUAGAUAGUCGGAGGAACACCAGUGGCGAAGGCGGCUCACUGGCUCGAUACUGACGCUGAGGUGCGAAAGCGUGGGUAGCAAACAGGAUUAGAAACCCUAGUAGUCC